AGCUACAUCUGAUUACUGGGU
rnacentral:miRNA from 2 species